UGGGGAAUUUUGGACAAUGGGCGAAAGCCUGAUCCAGCAAUGCCGCGUGUGUGAAGAAGGCCUUCGGGUUGUAAAGCACUUUUGUCCGGAAAGAAAUGGCUCCGGUUAAUACCCGGGGUCGAUGACGGUACCGGAAGAAUAAGGACCGGCUAACUACGUGCCAGCAGCCGCGGUAAUACGAUGGGUGCAAGCGUUAAUCGGAAUUACUGGGCGUAAAGCGUGCGCAGGCGGUUGUGCAAGACCGAUGUGAAAUCCCCGAGCUUAACUUGGGAAGUGCAUUGGUGACUGCACGGCUAGAGUGUGUCAGAGGGGGGUAGAAUUCCACGUGUAGCAGUGAAAUGCGUAGAGAUGUGGAGGAAUACCGAUGGCGAAGGCAGCCCCCUGGGAUAACACUGACGCUCAUGCACGAAAGCGUGGGGAGCAAACAGG
rnacentral:rRNA from 1 species